rnacentral:misc_RNA from 1 species
AAGGCGUACGUGCAUCUUUCCACGGAAACGACAGAAGAGAAGGGAUGCGCUGAUGUACGUUGGUUGUGUUGUUGCUAUCUCUUGCAUGUGUCCUCGCGAUUGGGCUGUCUUCGCCCCCUGUCCACCACGUCGCUUGCUCGGCACCGAGGAUCUCCAGGAAAGUGUGCUUCGUCGCAUGCCGUCACGCUCCGUCUCUCGUCACCUCCACCUCUCUCUCUGUCGCUCUGUCUUCCAUAAGAGGCGCAGUUUGCUGCCCUGGGUCGCCGAAACCAGCGCAGGAGGCACCACCCUCCUUGUUCCGCAGAAGGUGCGCCGGUGGAGCGUUUGCUGCAGACAUACCCAUAAAUACAUACCACGUGUCGAAACAUGGCUGCCUUGCAACACGUGAACUCCGCUACAGAGAUCACACCGCUGCUCGCGUGCGGCGGUGACUACGUCAAAAACGGCACGCAAACGCUGUCCAUCGCGUCGGUGUACGCAACACUGGAUGCGCUGGAGAGCCUCUGGCAGGCACAGAGGGAGAGACAGCAUCUUUCGGUCCGUGGGCGCGCACAAGGUUUGCGGCACUACCACGCCGUGUACGAGGCGAGUGUGCGCUGCGUGCCGCUGUCACUGACUCGCUGGGAGCAGUGGCUUGCUGGACUGAGCGAGCAGGGUGCACAAACCACGAUGGGUGCCUGCCCAGAUGAUCUGUCCAGCUCGAGUUCUCCGCAAGUGCAAAGGGUGCAGAAGGAGCUCGUCGACUCAUAUUGGCAUCUGUAUCGGCGGCUCUGUUGGGGCAGCUCUGGCGCUGCAAAGGCUGGACUUGCCGCUGUGCUGGAGCACACCGAGAGCGCUGCGUCGGAGCUCCAAUCUGUGAUGGCCACUGGGGCAGCUGCCCUUGUGGCGGAGCAGGAGGCGGCACUGGCGAAGCCUCUGCAAGCCUUUGCGCGGCUCUCCGCUGAAUCGGCACACUUGUUCGCCGAUUACCCGCUGAUCGGAAAGGUGGAGCGGCUGUGGCUCAGCGAAACAGUCUUGCCCGCCCUCGGCGAGCCUGCCGAGCCUCUUGUGGAGAUGCUCGUGAGGCGGACAUUUAAGCGAGACCUGCAGGUGCCAUCUGUCGCCCUGCCUGAGCUGCUCCGUGAGUAUGAGGAGAGCGAGAUUAAUGAACAUAAAGUCAAGGAUAUUGUCGCCGUUGGGCAGGCAACGCUGAGCUCUUCCUGGAUGCGUGCAGCGUCUGCCCUGUACGUACACACGACACGCCUCACCGACACGACGAGGCCCUCAGACGUGGGUGGGAUGCUGGAAGCCUCGUCCCUGUCUCGCGAUGCGCGGCUGAAGGAAUUGGAGGAGCAGCUGCUGAGCGUUCUGAUAAAGGUUCCGAGAGGACAGGGGUUCCUUCCUGCGCUGGGGCUUCUUAUGCAGCGGCUGAUGGAGGACAACGGCGAGGCGUCCGCAUCUACCGGCCCGUGGCGCGGCCUGAAUGGGUCACAGACACAGUUUUACCUUUAUCUGCUGCACCAAUGGUUUGCAACGUACAUUGGCUCCCACCACCGGUGGUCCGUGACUGAUAUGUUUGCUGCUUCAGACGACGCGGACUUGUGGACGUUUUUGCUUGACCGCCAUGCUGUGUGCCUCACGUGGGCUCUGGUGACGGAGAAGCCUGCUUUGCAGGACCUGGCGGUGCGCACGCAUGCUGAGACGCAGCUGGGCUACUUGGAUGUGCUUGCCACCAGAGUGGAUAAACUGCGCGCCGUCUUCUACUCGGUUGUGCACUGUGCGCAACUCUACCACGCGUCAACCACUGCCUUUACCAAGAUGGAAAAGCGUGAGUCGCGACUGAGGACGGCGGCAGCGGCCAUGCACUCGUGGAUGAAGGAAAUCGGCAUAGAGACGUUUUGCCGCGCGCUUCUGAAUGAUUUGUUUGACGCGACCGCGCAGUGGGAGGAGGCGCAAGCUGGCUACGAUGCUUGCGUGCAGCAGCGCGCGCUUCUGGUGGAGGCGGAGCUGAAGCUGAUUCUGUAUGACACAAUGAUGAUGCUGCAGUGCCCGGAUCGAUCAACGGAGCGUAUCGAGAGACUUGUGGAGGCUGCCCUGGACAUGUGCGAUGCGUGGGGCACAUCUGAGCGGGAACCCAGCGGCCGUACGAGUCACGAGCGCAAAGACCUGGUGCUCCCUAUUAUUGGGAUGGCCGGACGUUGCCUUCAUCGUAUCUCUGCUAGCUUGCGAUGUGAUGUCGCCUCCGUCUCCGCCGUGCCCGAGGUGCAGGCCAGCCUCUAUCGGAGGGCUGUACAGUGGGUGAAGAGAUGCAUUGUCGCUGCGGCUGCCAUCGGUGGUGACCCUAGCUCCCUGUGGGAUGAGUGGUCGGGCUUGGUUUCUAUUCCGGUUUUCGCGGCGGAGCAGCACUCCAGCGGAGAAUCACCCCGUCGGUUUUACCCACCUGCGCUUUUGGGCUACGCUAUUCCGGCAACUGGGCGUGGACGGGCAUCUCGUCAAACUGCAGCGAGUGGCGGCCUCGACGAUGUGUGUUGGGAGCGGCGCACCGUUGCGAAAGCCGUUCGAAAAGAGGUGAAGACAGGCGUAGACGGAGGCGGCAGCAGGGACGACCGCGUGUCAUCUUGCAUCGUCACAGCAGGAUCCGGAGAGGAAGAGUCGGGGCAGCCGCCGCUUAAAAAGACACGUGCGAACUGAGGGCGCUUCCUAUUCUGUGCGCAGACGACAGAUGUGCGCGUCUGUUGCGUCCGCUGAAGUGAAGUUGUGCUUGACUGUAGGCUACAUGCAUCCCUCGUGUGUGAGAGAGAGAGACUGUAACUGCGUUGCCUUCGCAUAACGUCAAUCACAGGCUGCUGGGCGAGCUCGACACUGGAGAUGCAAAACAAAAAAAAAGCAGAACGAUCAGUAGGUAACGGGGAACCCUGUAAAGGCACGAUUGCGUGUUUGUGUGUGGUUGUGUAACCUUGUCCUCACGCGGCCUCACAGACCCCCUUCGAGGCGAGUAUUGCCUUCCAUCUCCUCUCAUUGGUUCGCCUCACCGCCGCGCGUGCGAUGUUGCCAUUUUUAUUUUUUUCGCGCGAGUCCCACUCCAGGUCGCGGGGGCUCAACUUACGUCCUCCCCUGUGAAGCACUCCGGCCUCUUUGCUUUGCGCUAUCCAACUGCCCUGUGGUUUCCUUUGUGAAUCCCCUCACUGUGCUUCUGCGGUGGCGAUGAACGACGACAUUCACACGCGGCCUUUUUCGCGCGCGUCACUCCAUGGAACUGAUUCUGGCUGCAUCUCCGGUGGCGCCCGCCCCCAUCGAAUUUCAUUGCGCAUCUACCGACGCUCUGUUGGCACGGCGUGGUGAGCUUUAUUUUCUAAUCACGAAUUCUCGCGCCACAUCCUUUCAUCCAGAUGAAUCUCUGUCACUAGCUGCAGCGCGCCCUCUCCCCCUCCCCCCACCGCCGUCCACCACCACGUUUAG